rnacentral:rRNA from 1 species
UACAGAAGGUGCGAGCGUUAAUCGGAAUUACUGGGCGGAAAGGGUGCGUAGGUGGUUUUGUAAGUUAGGUGUGAAAGUCCCGGGCUUAACCUGGGGAUUGCGCCUGAUACUGCAAAGCUAGAGUACUGUAGAGGAAAGUGGAAUUUCCAGUGUAGCGGUGAAAUGCGUAGAUAUUGGAAGGAACAUCAGUGGCGAAGGCGACUUUCUGGACAGAUACUGACACUGAGGCACGAAAGCGUGGGGAGCAAACAGG